rnacentral:rRNA from 1 species
UACGUAGGGACCGAGCGUUGUCCGGAAUUAUUGGGCGUAAAGAGCUCGUAGGCGGUCUGUCGCGUCGGCUGUGAAAUCCCGAGGCUCAACCUCGGGUCUGCAGUCGAUACGGGCAAACUAGAGUAUUGCAGGGGAGACUGGAAUUCCUGGUGUAGCGGUGAAAUGCGCAGAUAUCAGGAGGAACACCGGUGGCGAAGGCGGGUCUCUGGGCAAUAACUGACGCUGAGGAGCGAAAGCGUGGGGAGCGAACAGG